rnacentral:rRNA from 1 species
UAUUAUGUACAUUCCUACAACAUAUCCUUAAUGCAGAUCCCAUUAGAAUUUUGCAUUUAAGCAUGCUUAGGCUAGAGUAGUACUGGGAUGGGUGAUCGCCCAAGAAUUCCUAGUCUUUUACAAGCC